AUACGUAGGUGGCAAGCGUUAUCCGGAUUUACUGGGUGUAAAGGGCGAGUAGGCGGGCUUGCAAGUCAGAUGUGAAAUACCGGGGCUCAACCCCGGGGCUGCAUUUGAAACUGUAGGUCUUGAGUGAUGGAGAGGCAGGCGGAAUUCCCGGUGGAGCGGUGGAAUGCGUAGAUAUCGGGAGGAACACCAGGGGCGAAGGCGGCCUGCUUGACAUUAACUGACGCUGAGGAGCGAAAGCGUGGGGAGCAAACAGGAUUAGAUACCCUGGUAGUCCACGCUGUAAACGAUGGAUACUAGGUGUAGGGGGUACUGACCCCCUCCGUGCCGGAGUUAACACAAUAAGUAUCCCACCUGGGGAGUACGGCCGCAAGGUUGAAACUCAAAUGAAUUGACGGUG
rnacentral:rRNA from 1 species